GUGGGGAAUUUUGGACAAUGGUCGGAAGACUGACCCAGCCAUGCCGCGUGCAGGAAGACGGCCCUCUGGGUUGUAAACUGCUUUUAUCUGGGAAGAAAAAGGCCAUGCGUGGCAAAUUGCCGGUACCAGAUGAAUAAGCACCGGCUAACUCCGUGCCAGCAGCCGCGGUAAUACGGAGGGUGCGAGCGUUGUCCGGAUUUAUUGGGUUUAAAGGGUGCGUAGGCGGCUGAUUAAGUCAGCGGUGAAAGACUUCGGCUUAACCGUAGCAGUGCCGUUGAUACUGGUUGGCUUGAGUGUCGGAGGGGUACAUGGAAUUGAUGGUGUAGCGGUGAAAUGCAUAGAUACCAUCAGGAACACCGAUAGCGAAGGCAUUGUACUGGCCGACAACUGACGCUGAUGCACGAAAGUGUGGGGAUCGAACAGGAUUAGAUACCCGGGUAGUCC
rnacentral:rRNA from 1 species